GAUGAAGAACGUAGCAAAAUGCGAUAAGUAAUGUGAAUUGCAGAAUUCAGUGAAUCAUCGAAUCUUUGAACGCACAUUGCGCCCGCCAGUAUUCUGGCGGGCAUGCCUGUUCGAGCGUCAUUUCAACCCUCAAGCACAGCUUGGUGUUGGGACUCGCGUUAAUUCGCGUUCCCCAAAUUGAUUGGCGGUCACGUCGAGCUUCCAUAGCGUAGUAGUAAAACCCUCGUUACUGGUAAUCGUCGCGGCCACGCCGUUAAACCCCAACUUCUGAAUGUUGACCUCGGAUCAGGUAGGAAUACCCGCUGAACUUAAGCAUAUCAAUAAGCGGAGUA
rnacentral:misc_RNA from 1 species